ensembl:snRNA U2 U2 spliceosomal RNA
AUCGCUUCUCGGCCUUUUGGCUAAGAUCAAGUGUAGUAUCUGUUCUUAUCAGUUUAAUAUCUGAUAUUUUUUUUGGGCAGUGGUGGCCUAGCGGUU